UCCUAAUACAGGGAGGUAGUGACAAGAAAUAACAAUACAGGGCCUAACGGUCUAGUAAUUGGAAUGAGUGAAGUAUAAACCCCUUUACGAGUAUCAAUUGGAGGGCAAGUCUGGUGCCAGCAGCCGCGGUAAUUCCAGCUCCAAUAGCGUAUAUUAAAGUUGUUGCAGUUAAAAAGCUCGUAGUUGGAUUUCUGUUGUAUAAUUUUAUAAUAUUACCAAGGUAAUUAUUAUAUUAUCAACAUCCUUCCUAUUAUAUUCUAAAUAUAUAGGAAAUUUUACUUUGAGAAAAUUAGAGUGCUUAAAGCAGGCAACUGCCUUGAAUACUCCAGCAUGGAAUAAUAAGUAAGGACUUUUGUCUUUCUUAUUGGUUCUAGGACAAAAGUAAUGGUUAAUAGGGACAGUUGGGGGCAUUCGUAUUUAACAGCCAGAGGUGAAAUUCUUAGAUUUGUUAAAGACGAACUACUGCGAAAGCAUUUGCCAAGGA
rnacentral:rRNA from 1 species